CCAGCCUCCUGAAUCAAUAUCCACAAGGUUAUAAUCCACAGUAAGAGCAUUAGAAUGGUCCUUGGCAAACGCACACCAUCAGUUCCGCCAUUCCCACCUGGCGCUAAUUUCCGCGUCCCGCUUUCUCUCACCUAGUCACCUGUUCUUUUUAUUGCUUCCUAAGACCCCACCCUUCUCUUCAUCUCUUUUUUUACUUCCGUUAAUUAAAACACCACGGAAUGGAACGGACUCCGCUUCUGCGUCACUAAAUGGUAAAUGGUGCAGUUAUAGCCAAAGCGCUUUACACUGUGUCUCAUUUACCCAUUCGCACACCAAUGAUAGCAGAGCUGCCAUACAAGGCGCUAACUUGCCAUCGGGAGCAACUUGGGGUUCAUUGUCUUGCCCAAGGACACUUUGGCAUGUGGAGUCAGGCUGGCUGGGAACCGCCAACCCUACGAUUAGUGGACAACCCGCUCUACCACCUGAUCCACAGCCGCCCCUGUCACUGUGCAGCUAUCUGUUACAAAUGAAUGGGAAAAUAUCCUUGGCAUCCCUGCAAUUCAAGGAUGUUGUAAUUGGUAAGUUGUGAUGUCAAAAGUAUCUGUACCAAGUUGAUACUAAAAUUUUAAAAAGAAUGAUACGAUAAGUUUUUUUUUUUCAGUACCGGCAGUACCAAGUAUUCUCCUGCUUUCUGAUUGACUUUCUUUUGUAGGUAUUAAUUAACCGUGAUUUACACUCAGCCAUCUUACUGGAAUUUGUGUAGGUUAGGAAUAAGACUGAGGAUGGAGUUGUACAGUUUUGUAGUGUGUAUCAUUUGUAAAUAUUGUUAACUUCUUUACCAUAGCUAUGCUGAGGGAGGUGUUGACUAAAUUAGAGAUGGAGCUGGACCAACAAACCACUGAGCUUGCUUCAACUACAGGUGUUCCAGGUGCAGUCUUUGGAUACUGAUGAAGAUUUACUGCCCUACAAGAUCUUCCUCAACUGCAUAGUCUGGAGCAAAGGAUGCAACAGAGCUCGGAUUGCAAGCAAAAACUGGGCGGAUGUGCUUGACUGCACUUGGCGCAUAUUGAAGAGGGUGAUUGCUAAUUCCCUGGCAAAGAACCUCAAUUGGAGAGGAGUCAAUGGAAAGACUUCACUGGCCACUCUCCAACUUGGAGAGGUCAUGAUUGAAACCUCUUCACAGCUAAUGCUGCAGAGAUGGAGGUUGAGGGGACCAUGAAGAGGUGGCUCCAGCUGGCAUCAGAUGGAGAGAAGACUUUUGAAAACUUUUGCAAAAAGAAGGUAUUUAGAGUGUUUUAACUGUGGUGUCUUUGUUAAUUUGUUAAAAUGUUCAUAUUAUAGUCUAUUUUUGAUUGUUUAUAAAAGUCCUUGCUGUUUUUAAGUGGUUGAAAUUGUGUGUGUGUUGGUACAGUAGCUGGGUGGCUAUACAGUUGCGGUCAGAAGUUUACAUACCCCUUGCAGAAUCUACAAAAUCUUAAUACUCUUAACAAAAUAAGAUUGAUCAUAAAAAUCCUGUUUCUUAUUUAGUACCGCCAUGAAUAAGCUAUUUCACAUAACAGAUGUUUACAUAUAGUCCACAAGAUAAUAGCUGAAUUAAUCAAAAUUACCCCAUUCAAAAGUUUACACACGUUUGAUUCUUAAUACUGUGUGUCGUUACCUGAACGACAGGUCCUUCACAUACUUUGCUUUUCCUGCAUAUUUUAGCCCUUUCCAGUAGAGGUUAUAUGAUGUUCCGAUCCAUCUUUUCACACUGAGGACAAU